GGAUAUUUGGGCCCUUACCUUGCUUUAAGUGGAGAUUCAGUUUUCUGUUUUCACUUAAUAUGACAACUGAAGAGCGAAAGACUUUGAAGGGCACAGAGUCUUCAGCUCCUUCUGUUCCUCCUGAUGGAGGAGUCAGCAAGGAACCUAAAAAAGGGGGAGAUUACCCAAUGGGAGGACAACUGGUCCAGCACGCCGCUCAUCCAAGGGCAACUGGACUCUAGAAGAGGAAUGCGAUCGUAGCGGCUCGAGCUCUUCCUUACCAAGAGGAACACAAACAGAGCUCAGGAGUUGGUGAACACCCAUGAUCUGUAGAUGUCGCAGUUGGAAGGGUCCAGGAAGAUUUAUGCACAGGGAGAUGAUUAUCACGAGUACUUCAAGCGCUCAUUUGAGGAAGACAUCGCUGCGCAAGUGCCUCAAGGAGUGGAAUGGGGUUACAACUAUUGAUUGGGGGAAAUCAGGCAGAGGAGGGCAUGUUGACGGACCAAGUGGCGAGGCAAAAUUUUCUAAUGAUUUUGAAGUUCAUUAUAUUGGCAGUAGCUGAUGAUCCCUUCUGUGAUGGACCGAGUAAACCAAGCAAUUCGGGAUAUUCAACUCCACUUUGAUGACUGUGUGUACCAGCAUGAGAUGUUGAUUACAAUUAACGACAUAUUUAUUGUUGUUUAUUUUUUAUUUUUCAUAUUAUAGUGAUGUUUGUUGUUC